rnacentral:rRNA from 1 species
CUCGUAGGCGGCUUCUUAAGUCCGUGGUGAAAACCUGUGGCUCAACCACAGGCCUGCCGCGGAAACUGUGAAGCUUGAGUCCGUGAGGGGAGAGGGGAAUUCCUGGUGUAUCGGUGAAAUGAGUUGAUAUCAGGAGGAACACCCGUGGCGAAGGCGCCUCUCUGGCACGGUACUGACGCUGAGGAACGAAAGCGUGGGGAGCAAACA